GUGAAACAUUGAGAGAGGUAAAGAUUUCUCUCCUUUCUCACUAAAUGAUUUGCUGAAACUGUGAUUCUGAGUAUAUUCAGUUAAAAGAAAACCCAUCAACACUAGGGGGACCCAUUAAGAAAAUGGGAGUAAGAGAAAUAGAAGAAAAUCUUACAAAUGAAGUUAGGCAAGAACAUGAAUAUUUAGCUAUUAGAGCCAAUCUUUAGUUUUAUUACAAAUUUUCAAAAGCUGGUUUCUUCUAAAAGGUGCCAUUUCAACAGUCUUUCUCCACUGAGGCAAAGCAACUGUGCCAGCCUCUCUUCUUGAAUGACACCUUGCAGAUUGAACCAGGCAGCUCCAGAGCUGAAAGCCUGAGCUGCUAUUGCAUGCCAGCUUGCUUUGCCUGGCUUAGUAGCUCAAAACCAGUGAGUUAUGCAAGCUCUCAACCCUCCCUUCUUGAAGAUAAGCCUUACCCUGCUGGUGUCCUCAGCUGGAGAUGGAGAACAGUGCUGCUGGCUGGCUGCUUUGUGUUCCUAUAAGGAAUCCUGACACGUGGCAGCGGGCACAUGGCAGCCAUCCGGUCGCGUUUGCCCAGCUGUAGGACUGCGAUCCCAAUAAUUCUUCUCCACCCGUACUCUUCCUAGGAGUUAUACUUUCUCCAGUCCAACUGGCAUUCCCUUGCCUGCCUUCACCAGUCUGCAGUGGCUCUUGCCAAGCCAAGUCUCUGUAUGUGCCUCUGCCCUCACUGACCUGCAGCAGCUCUUGAUGCCAUUGACCAUACCCUUUUCCUGGGAAGUCCUUCUCCCUGAGCGCCUCUAACUUAUUUUGAAUCACAUUUUGUGAUAUUGACACAUUUUUUGUCACAUUUUGAAUCCCAUUUAUUACCUUUUGUCACGUUUCAGAUCACAUUUUGUCACCUUCUGACCCUCCUCCAGCUUCUUGUGAGGAUGCUACGAGGACCUCCUCUUACUCAUUUUCUCUUUGUCUCUUGGCAUUGUUAUCCAUGAACACAAAUUCAUCUUAUCACAUCUAUGCUGAUGGGUCACACACUUACCUGCUUACUCCAGGCUGUUUUAUUCUGUCCAAACAACGGCCUUAGGUUGCUUUUCUGGCAGGUCUGACUUACAUGUAGUUAGUUAUCAAUUCAAGUCAGCACAAAGACAUGAGAUUAUUGAAUAUUUUCUUGCAUUCCUUCUUUAUGUGGAUGUGGUCUUUUUGUAACUGCAGCAUAACUAGAA